GGGUGUGAUGGUGAUCUGGUGGUGACAUCUGUCUCCCCAUUAAUUGCUAGUGUUGAUUCAGCUGAUCUGGCUGGCUAAGUAGGUGUCCCCUUCCUCCCUCACCAAUCCAUGCUCGGAUAUCCUUCCUGAAGCUGCCUAUUUGGUGGAAGAGGAAGACCCUCCCCAAUAGAGGAGGACAGGUCUUUAGUCAAGGGGAUACGAGCAGCUGUGCUUCCCUGCUAGAACCUCCAAACAAGCUCUCAGACAUUGAAGUUGUUUAUUUGUGUAUGAUGAGUGGUUUAUUCUGUUAAUGAGUCUUUUGAACCUGAAAUGAAAGUUAAAACUUU
rnacentral:snRNA from 1 species